UACGUAGGCAGCAAGCGUUGUUCGGAAUUACUGGGCGUAAAGAGCGUGUAGGCGGCCCGACCAGUCCGCUGUGAAAGUCCAGGGCUCAACCCUGGAAUGCCGGUGGAUACUGUCGGGCUAGAGUCCGGAAUGGGCGAGUGGAAUUCCUGGUGUAGCGGUGAAAUGCGCAGAUAUCAGGAGGAACACCAAUGGCGAAGGCAGCUCGCUGGGACGUGACUGACGCUGAGACGCGAAAGCGUGGGGAGCAAACAGG
rnacentral:rRNA from 1 species